CGUUUCUCAGUUGGAAGGACAGAGAAUCUUAAGAAAUGUAGAAACACAAGAGGAGGAAGAGACAGAGAUAGAGAGACAGAGACAGAGAAAGACAGAAACACAAAGAUGGAGAGACAGGCAGAGGUAGAGAGACAGAGAGAGAUGCACACACACAAAGGAGGAGGGGAGAUAGAGGAGGGAGAGUUGUUUAUGCAACCCAGGGGGCACCAAUGCCAAUCAACAGUUGUACCUUCCCUGUAAAUGUAAAAGGCACCUUCUCUCCUGAUGCCCUUGCACCUACAUUCAGCCUUGGAAGCGUCAGCCAUAGGAGCUAGUGAGGCAGGGAUGAAGUUGAAGAAAAAUCAACAACUGACCACACUUUCCUUCCUGGCCUUGUCUGUCCAGUGACCUCAGCAAGGGCUCCUCUCGGCUCUUCCAUAUGUGGUUUGCUCUCUGAUUGACAUCCAGCUCUUUUCUGUAUCCUACACCCUGAAUGCCUUUUCCACUCCCUUACACGGUCACCACCAACCUUCUGAACUCAGCUGAGGCACACAUUUAAUAUGAUUCCAUUCCUGGAUCAUUUGUAUCUCUGAAAUUCUUCAUCCGUGGUGAGCACUAGCAUGUCUAAGGGCACGACACAAGGCACAUGGUUGUGGCAGCACCCCUUGCAGGAUAGCGGAAGGCUUGCCCAUGGCAGAAACUAAACUGGUCUGUGGAGGGUCUGCCAGGUAGGGAAUAGGGUCCAAGUAGGAAACAAGCUGUAUUUGAUUUGGACAGUGGUUGGCGGAAGCAGAAUCUCCAAUGAAGACUGCAGAGUUCUGGUGCAGAUCAAGGAAUCUGGAAAUGCGGGCUCUUCAGCCAGGCUGUCUUCUGGGAACUUGCUACCACAUAGAGUGUCCUGCCGGGCUGUGGUUCUGGAGGAGAGUCUUAUGCUGGAAGAAAGAGUCCUGUGUACUGGAAUGGCUGCCAAUCAGGAAGACAUAAUGGUAUUGGAGAUGAUUCAGAGAAGAGAAUUUCAAAUGAUCAAGGGGAUAAGAAAGCUGUCUUAUAAGGAUAAACUACAAAGAACAAAAGUUUUCAAGCUAGAAAAACCAGGCUGAAAAGUAAGGAUGAUCAAAGUCUCUAAAGUUAUGAAGUCGAUGGAAAAAAUGAACAUGAAUGUUUUAAAAUCGAAAAAUAGCACAACAACAGGAACAAUUGGGAAGCCAUAGGACAAAAUAAUGAGAAAAAAGUACAUUAGGCAGCAGAUACAGAAGUUAGAGAACUCAUUCCCUAUGGUAUAGAAAAGGAUAUAUUGCAAACAAUUCAAAUAACAUUUUGGCAUGAGUCAUACCUUCUUACAAUAUCCCAAGACAUUCUGUAUAUCCUUAGUAAGUAGUUAAGUUUGAUUUUAGAAAGAACACUUUCUAUCUGUACAUCUAUCCUCCC
rnacentral:lncRNA from 1 species